GAUGAACGCUGGCGGCGCGCCUAACACAUGCAAGUCGAACGAUUAAAGCACCUUCGGGUGUGUAUAAAGUGGCGAACGGCUGAGUAACACGUGGGCAACCUGCCCCUCUCAUUGGGAUAGCCACGGGAAACCGUGGAUAAUACCGAAUACUUCGGGACUUCCGCAUGGAAGACUCGAGAAAGCUCCGGCGGAGAGGGAUGGGCCCGCGGCCUGUUAGCUUGUUGGUGGGGUAAUGGCCUACCAAGGCAAUGAUGGGUAGCUGGGUUGAGAGACCGACCAGCCAGAUUGGGACUGAGACACGGCGCAGACUCCUACGGGAGGCAGCAGGGGGGAAUCUUGCACAAUGGGCGAAAGCCUGAUGCAGCGACGCCGCGUGCGGGAUGAAGGCCUUCGGGUUGUAAACCGCUUUCAGCAGGGACGAGGCGAAAGUGACGGUACCUGCAGAAGAAGCCCCGGCUAACUACGUG
rnacentral:rRNA from 1 species